rnacentral:tRNA from 1 species
UGGUGGCUCAGACGGUAAAGAAUCUGCCUCCAGUGCAGGAGACCCAGGUUCAAUCCCUGGCUA